rnacentral:rRNA from 1 species
UGAGCAAUCUGCCCUUCACAUCGGAAUAACCAUUGGAAACGAUGGCUAAUACCGAAUAUGACUUCGGAUCGCAUGAUCUGAAGUGGAAAGCUCCGACGGUGAAGGAUGAGCUCGCGGCCUAUCAGCUUGUUGGUGAGGUAAUGGCUCACCAAGGCGAUGACGGGUAGCCGGCCUGAGAGGGUGACCGGCCACACUGGGACUGAGACACGGCAGA